rnacentral:rRNA from 1 species
AGGACGAACGCUGGCGGCGUGCUUAACACAUGCAAGUGGAGCGACGAACCAGGGCUUGCCCUGGGGCAGAGCCGCGAACGGGUGAGUAACACGUGGGUUACCUGCCUCGAUGACCGGGACAACCCGAGGAAACUCGGGCUAAUACCGGAUGUGCCCGCAAGGGGAAAGGAAGCUUCGGCCUCCGCAUCGAGAUGGGCCCGCGGCCCAUUAGCUUGUUGGUGAGGUAACGGCUUACCAAGGCUUCGAUGGGUAGCUGGUCUGAGAGGACGAUCAGCCACACUGGGACUGAGACACGGCCCAGACUCCUACGGGAGGCAGCAGUGGGGAAUCUUGCGCAAUGCGCGAAAGCGUGACGCAGCAACGCCGCGUGGGGAAGAAGGCUUUCGGGUUGUAAACCCUUUCAGUUGGGACGAAGCUUCGACGGUGAAUAGCCGGCCGGAGUGACGGUACCUUCACAAGAAGCACCGGCUAACUACGCGCCAGCAGCCGCGGU